AUUGAGUUAAAUAUCGAUGGACUCCCAAUAGCAAAAAGCAGUAAAAGUCAAAUUUGGCCAAUAUUAGAUGUUUUACGUAUUGUUAUAUGAUACGUAUUGCAUAACAGUACCAGAAACAUGGAUAGACUUUGGACAGUCUACAUUUAAAAUGCCUAAAAAAACUAAACAGCUUUCUCAAGCUCGUAUGAAACAGUUGCCAUGUAAUGAAUGGGAUGAAUUUAAAUUUAAUAAGAGCUUUGGUCCUUAUGAAAAUUAUUCAAAUGCACGGGCUGUUGAAAAAGCAGUAAGCGAAAUGUCUGCGUCAGAUGACAAUAUUGUUAUACAGGAAC